UGAUUUUUUAAUAAAUUUGUUUAAUAUAUUUACAUAUAUAUAUAGAGAGAGAGAGCAUGAUAAUGGAUAAAUGGACAUGCCAUGACUCUGUCAUGGUAAAGUGUAUCAUAUAGCUUGUACAGAGCUGGUAUUUCUUGUGUGUUCACCAUUCAACCACCAGAAUCAUUAAAGGACAGGCAGACAGCCUAAGGCUCUCAAUGGGAAGGUCCCCUCACAGAUAAUGUCUAUACCAUGGAUGGACAGACAGACAGCCUAAGGCUCUCAAUGGGAAGGUCCCCUCACAGAUAAUGUCUAUACCAUGGAUGGACAGACAGACAGCCUAAGGCUCUCAAUGGGAAGGUCCCCUCACAGAUAAUGUCUAUACCAUGGAUGGACAGACAGACAGCCUAAGGCUCUCAAUGGGAAGGUCCCCUCACAGAUAAUGUCUAUACCAUGGAUGGACAGACAGACAGCCUAAGGCUCUCAAUGGGAAGGUCCCCUCACAGAUAAUGUCUAUACCAUGGAUGGACAGACAGACAGCCUAAGGCUCUCAAUGGGAAGGUCCCCUCAUAGAUAAUGUCUAUACGAUGGAUGGACAGACAGACAGCCUAAGGCUCUCAAUGGGAAGGUCCCCUCAUAGAUAAUGUCUAUACGAUGGAUGGACAAGCAAGCACCAUGUUACAGCAAUGAUCAACAUUUAUUUUCAAAUUUUUGUCCAAGGAAACAAAAUAUAAUCAUGCGUAAAAGAUAGUUUUCGAUUAAAAUUUCUGACUUUUGCCUUCUAGUGAGAUAUUAUUUUACACAGGAACAAACUAUCAAGAAAUCUUUUUUUUCAACAUUAAAAAAUUUCUUUGGUGGAUUAAAAAUCAUAGCAUGGAUAAAAUUGUAAGUAACACUAAUGGGAUCACACUUUAAUAGAUACAGAUUUAUCUAAUGUUUUCAGCUUAAUUAUCGGUAAUAAGUUAAAAUUGAUGUCAUCUAUGAUUAAUAAUGCCAUUUAUGGUAUCAAUGAUCAAUUGUAAAAACUUUGGCAAGCUGUGGUAUUGUUAACAGUUCUGUACAACAGUUUACAUUAGGUUUAGAUAAUGUACAACAAGUGUAACAGUAUAUGGGGGGAAAAUACUGCCUUGCUGGCAAGCUAGCUUUUCCAGUGGUGCAGUAUAACUGGGGACCCGCUCACUAGCUCAGCAACGUUGAGCGAGGUCAGUAGUUGGAUGGGUGACCGCCCGCACGUUACACAGGUAACAGUUUCAUGAUGUCCUAAACAUUUAAAACAGGUGUCUUAAUGCAUAAAGCUUUUCUCAUGUUCAUUCUCUGUUCCAUCUAAAUUCAAUACAGAACCCUUUCAACACCCAAGAUCAUAGUGGACUGGCCCAGAUCAAUACAUGGAAGAAUCUACUAAAUUUACAUAAGGCUGAAAGAUUUAUAGGAGAACGAACUUAAAUUUUAUCAUUAUUUUAUUAUUGAAGUUUUGUAGGUACUUAGCAUAAAGUUAUAGCCGAGUAUCAUUCCCCUAAUAAGUAUAGAAGAUGAUUGGUAAUGUUAAGGAAACAAUUGCAACACUAGUAAGCUUAAGGGGAGACAACUGUACCAGUAAGCUUAAGGGGAGACAACUGUACAAGUAAGAUUAAGGGGAGACAACUGUACCAGUAAGCUUAAGGGGAGACAACUGUACCAGUAAGCUUAAGGGGAGACAACUGUAAUGCUAAUAAGCUGAUAGGGACACAUGGAACAAACAAAACAUUUGUAAAGACUUAACAUCAUUUUAUUAAGUGUCCUAAAAGCCAACACAGGAAGAGCAAUCUGAUGUCCUGUGAACAAGGCUGCUUACAAGCCUACAGAAAUCUGUACACUCUCUUAAACCAUAUACAAAACAUUGCACAUUAUAAUCGUUGUGAUAUGUACAAAGGGGUUUUUGAGAUCUAACGAAGAAAAAUAAAUACACACUGAUAAAACUUCGCAGAAAAUGUCAUAUUAAUUAUCAUUCAAUCUGUCCCUGUAUGCUAAAUAGUCUAGAGCCACUGUAACCUUGUAAGAGUUGUCAAAAAAGUUUAGAAAAAAAUAGUUUUGGUACUUUUAGCAAUUUUUAUGAGGUUAUGACAGAUAUGUAGCAUAUUUCUCUUUGCUUCAUCAAAGAAUCAUUUGUAAUACAUCAACGCUACUUGUAUUUGAUCAGUGAAGCAAACCUAAGACAAAGAAGGUGAUAUCAAGAACCUACAGUCAAUUAAAAGCUGAAAAUCUCUAAGAGCAAAGCUUCAAGUUCAUUAACUCAUUUACCCCUGAAAUUUUGUAAUGAACUAUUCCAACCUUUCAAUUGGAAGAGUUCAAAUAUGUUUUCAGGGGUGAAUGAGUUAAAGAAUUUUUGACACACCUACAGAUCAUACUUAAACCAACUAACCUACCUAUCUUUAUUGUCACACUGUUAAAGAAAAUCUAUGGAAUUAAAUUAGUUAAUCACUCUACCUAGAGUUCCAACAACAUAAAACACUCUUAUAUGCAAAUACUCUCCCGGUAAUGAAUGUUAAUUCUGAAGACAUAACCUCUGAAGGUAAGAUUUCCAUUUUUGAUUUUCACUUUAUCCUGAUUGCUCCUGGAGAUAAAAGUUGAUUACAAAGUAAAUUAAUUAACGAUACAUGAUUGUUAUGUUGAUAAAGAAGAUCAUUUUGGAGGCUCAAAUGACCCCUUACCACGCUUAAUUGUUAAAUAGGUGAUAAAAUAUAGUUAUUAAACUAAAAAUUAUUUAAUUGCUUAAAAUAAGUCUAUUGAUCAACACAGAAAAUACCUACAGACAGACAAUUAAUGGCUACUUUACUCAACACAUACGUAAAUACA